rnacentral:sRNA from 1 species
UUGAUUUUGACAUUGCUUAAAUUCGUGG